rnacentral:tRNA from 1 species
GGCGGCAUAGCUCAGCGGUAGAGCAUUCGGUUCAUACCCGGGGGGUCGGUGGUUCGAGCCCACCUGCCGCUACCA